rnacentral:lncRNA from 10 species
GCAAGAUCUUAAGUUCAUGCACCACAGUUAAAAUCCAGAAGAAACUGUCUAGACUUGAUGAACAAGAAGUCAGAUGAAGUUAUCAGAACAGACCAUAGCAGACAAGUAACUCUAAAGAUUUUUGUCCCAGAAAUGAUGCCUGGAAAGAGCAAGAUGGAAGCCUACGGACCUGGCAGAAGUCAGAGACCUCACACUAAAGAGGGUUAGUCAGCAAGAACUUAAGUCAUAGGGAAGAAGAUAAGAGCCUGAAAUUUCCUAGGCCAGUAUUUAGCCAUGAAACGGACAUGAUUAAAAUGAUGUUUUAAGAAGACUAGUCUGGCAGUGCUUUUCAUGAUGGAUUGGAGGACAAAUAAAGGAGACAGAGAAGUGGUCUCAAAGAUUGUUGAAAUAAUCCUGGAUUCCUUAAUGGGCUUCUUAAUGAGAGUCUUGACUGAGGUGUACAGUUGCUGGAACUGAAAUUGAGCUUUCCAAAACAGACACCCAACCAAAAGAUUCAGCGUGUAUGAAGGCAAAGCCUCUGUCAGCAUGGUUCCCUGAACAACUAUGAAGAUCAAAGUGCACCCUCCUCCUCAUAUCUAUAUGUUGCAUGCUUAAAUUCUGAGAAAUAAGGGGAAAAAACGGAAAUGUUGCAUGGAUGAGAAAUAACAUUUUAUUUAAUUAAUAUACUGAAAUUUGGUAGUUGUUAAUUACUGUAUCAUAACCUAGGUUAUCUUGGUUAAUAUACGAUUUAUACUCCAUCUUGUUAGUUUCAGCUCAUUGUUGUAAUAUGCUAAGAUCUUUUAGACAUUAAUUCCAUUAUUAAUAUACUAAUUAUUUUCCCAGGUAUAUGUCACCCUUAAAUUGUAUAAGUAUGUAUUUUAUAUUUUUAUCUUUUCCAGUUAAAAACAAUCUAAGUCCAUAUUCAUGGAUUGGAAAAUGUAAUAUUGCUAAAAUGUCCAUAUUACCCAAAGCAAUCUACAGAUUCAAUGCAACAUGUAUCAAAAUACCAAUAGAAAGUAGAUUGGUGAAUAACAGAGGCCAGGAAGAAUACAGAGGAGGUGGGGAAGAAGAGAGGUUAAUAGGUACAAAAAUAUAGUUAGAUAGGGGAAAUAAGACCUAGUGCUCAAUAAAUCAGUUGAGUGACUACAACAAUAUAUAAUUUAUUAUAUAUUUCAAAAUAGCUAGUACAGAAUAAUUUGAAUAUUCCAGGCAUAAAGAAAAAUGUUUAAGGUAAUGAGUAUUUCAAUUACCCUGGUUUAAUUAUUACAUGUUAUAUGAAUAAAUCAAAAUACCACAGGUACCCCUAAAAUAUGUACCUCUAUUAUAUACCAAUUUUUAGAAAUCUAUGUAAAGGCAAUUCCUGAGGCAUUUCAAUAAGAGCCACCCCUGAGUACAAUAUCAAUCAUGAAUUAUCACACCUUGGGUCCAGUCAUUCAACCUAUUACUAGUUUAUCUAGGCCAUAUUUUUCUAGGAUAUAUCCUGAAAUUCCUUUGCAAAUAUACUUUUGAAAUCUAGAAAUAUAUCUACAUUUAUUUGGUACAUAUACUUAGAAAUCUUUUCAGACCAAUACAUAAUGUAAUGUUAAAUUUAAAAUAUAAUGUAAGUGUACAGUACAAUAUUUAAUAGAACAGAUCCAGAAAUGAGCAUUAUUGAUGUGUAAAAUUGUAUCAAUUUCGCAUAAAAGCAAAGCAAUCAAAUUCUGGAGUCAGCUAGAUCUAGUUCAAAUCUCAGCUCUGAUACUGUCACUGAUCUUGAUAUUUGCUUAGUGUCUGGAUUUCUGAAUUAUCUCAUCUGUAAAAUAUGAAUAAUAAUUAUCAUACCUACCUCCAAAAGUUGCUACAAGAAUUAAAGGAAGUAAUGCUAAAGAAUGCUCAGAUAUGGGUCUGUUAUAUUACAAUAUUUCAAAAAGUAUUACUUAUAUCAUAAUAAUUAUGAAUUUGAGAUAUACCAUUUUUAAAUGACAUCUAAAGUGUUGCUUAAUUAUUUUAUUUUAUAUUCUUUCUAAAUGUUAAGACAGACUAAAAACUAAGAACUCUUAAUCUGCUAGUCUUAGAUAGAUUUUGUCAUAUCUGAAAAUAUGGAUUACAGUGCAGUUCUUUGAGCAAGUUGUUUCAUAUUUAAGAAAGUAUAUGGAUUAAGCAAACUUGUUGCUUUAAAUAAGAAGUGAGUAAUUAUUUACAAGCUUAUAGCAGCAGCAGCACACAUUUUUAGCAGUGAUUAUUUUAUUGUUCUCUCUGACUACUAUAUAGUCUGUCUGUAAGAGGGAAU